rnacentral:lncRNA from 1 species
GUUUGAUUGUUGGCUGGCCGGCUGGCUCAUUCUUCUCCAAUCCUGGGUGUUGGACGGUCGAUUGGUCAUGUUCUUAUUUGAUUGUUGGCCGGUUCAUCGACCAUAUGUCUAAGAUGGUUCGGGGGUGUUACAGGUGGUCCCUGGGAUCGGACUCAGAGUGCUUCCCAGAGGGGACCCAGGUAGUCUGAUACCACUCAAAUUACCCUAAGGAGUGUUACUCUCAUCAAAAGAGGUUCAGAUGUAGUACUUAGGGAUCGAAUCCACAAGGAACUAGGGAACAAUUAAAUCUAGUGUUUAUUAAUUCUAAAGGUUGUAAUGUUUUAAUGAAAUAGCAAUAGUAACAAGCGAGUAAAUGAUAAAUGUAACUUAGGUUGGAAAUGGUAUUAGAUGCAAGGCCACUAUUCAUUUGUUGGAGAUUAUAAUUCCUAUAGAUG